rnacentral:rRNA from 1 species
GACGUAGGGUGCAAGCGUUGUCCGGAUUUAUUGGGCGUAAAGAGCUCGUAGGCGGCUUGUUGCGUCGACUGUGAAAACCCGCGGCUUAACCGCGGGCUUGCAGUUGAUACGGGCAGGCUAGAGUUCGGUAGGGGAGACUGGAAUUCCUGGUGUAGCGGUGAAAUGCGCAGAUAUCUGGAGGAACACCGGUGGCGAAGGCGGCAUCCUGGACCGACAUUGACGCUGAGGCGCGAAAGCCAGGGGAGCAAACAGG